rnacentral:rRNA from 1 species
UACAGAGGGUGCGAGCGUUGUCCGGAAUCACUGGGCGUAAAGGGCGCGUAGGCGGCGCGGUAAGCGUGCGGUGAAAGCCCGGGGCUCAACCCCGGGUCGGCCGUGCGGACUGCCGGGCUGGAGCACUGUAGAGGCAGGUGGAAUUCCGGGUGUAGCGGUGGAAUGCGUAGAGAUCCGGAAGAACACCAACGGCGAAGGCAGCACUCUGGGCCGGAACUGGACGCUGAGGAGCGAAAGCGUGGGUAGCGAACAGG